rnacentral:misc_RNA from 1 species
UACCCGCAGCACGAGUGGUGAUCUCUAUUACUGGGCGUAAAGCGCGCGUAGGUGGCUUGAUAAGCCGGUUGUGAAAGCCCCGGGCUCAACCUGGGAACGGCAUCCGGAACUGUCAGGCUAGAGUGCAGGAGAGGAAGGUAGAAUUCCCGGUGUAGCGGUGAAAUGCGUAGAGAUCGGGAGGAAUACCAGUGGCGAAGGCGGCCUUCUGGACUGACACUGACACUGAGGUGCGAAAGCGUGGGUAGCAAACAGG